rnacentral:ncRNA from 1 species
AAGAAGUUUUAUUCUUGCUUUUCCGUUCAGUUUAUGCUUGUUCUAUAUGUAAGUUUGUGCGUGGGUUUUUUUAAUUCUAAAUGAGUUAUUUGAAUGUUAUUAUUCUCAUUAGUUAUUAUUGGGGUUAAAUCAAGUAUUUUUGUAUCUAGCAAUGUAUUUUAGUUUCGGUUAAAUUUUGUGCCAGCAACCGCGGUUAUACCUUGGAGGCGUUUGAAUGUGUUUGGCUUAUUUGUAGUUGUAUUAUUAUUUAUAUGGUAAUUUUUGAUUGGGGUUUAUUUAGGUGGAAUUAUUUAUUUUUUGUUUUUUAUCUUUAUAAUUUUGGAAGCUGUGAAAUUCCUUUUAUAAACUAGGAUUAGAUACCCUAUUAUUUUGGAAUGUUAAGGUUUAUAUGCUUGAGUAGUAUUAGUUAUGUUCUUGAAACUUAAAGAAUUUGGCGGUAUCUCAUUCCGUUCAGAGGAAUCUGUCUCGUUAUCGAUAGUCCGCGUUGGACCUUGCUUAGAUUGCUUUGUGGUUUGUAUACCGCCGUUUAUUGAUUAUCUUUUUAGAGUUAAAGUAAUUUUCUGGUUUCUCUAUUUUGAUUUAUUUCAGGUCAAGGUGCAGCUUGUUUCUAAGUGUAUGAUGGAUUACAUUGUUAUUUGUUUUUGGAUUGUUGAUUUUAAUAUUGGCAUGAAAUUGGAUUUGGUUGUAAUGACUUGUAGAUUGUUUUUAUGAUACUGGUUUUGGGAUAUGUACACAUCGCCCGUCGCUCUCGUUUAAAAUUCAUUAAUGAGAUAAGUCGUAACAAAGUGGUUGUACCGGAAGGUGCAGCUGGAUUGAU